CUUUUAACAUGGGUAAGAAAGUUAUCACACCUUUGAGGAGUUCACUUAAGCCAAAAACGGUUCAAGCCGUUGUUUGCUUGGAUGAUUGGAUGCGAGCUAAGGGAUUUUCAGCAGAAAUUGGUUGCAAAAAGGACGAUGAGGACGACGACGACGAUGAGGAUGAUGUUUCUUCAGUUGCUUUUUAAGAUACUUUCUUUCUAAAUGUUUAAAAUUUAAUUUAGCUUACAAUUUAUAUUUUGUUAUAAAAUUAAAUAUGUUGAUGGAUUAAUGUAUGAAUAUUAUGGUUUGUUGUUUAUUGCUAUAAAAUUAAGUAUGUUUAAAUA